CCCGAACCACUCAGGGUCCUGUGGACAGCUCACCUAGUGGCAAUGGCUCCAGGCUCCCGGACGUCCCUGCUCCUGGCUUUUGCCCUGCUCUGCCUGCCCUGGCUUCAAGAGGCUGGUGCCGUCCAAACCGUUCCCUUAUCCAGGCUUUUUGACCACGCUAUGCUCCAAGCCCAUCGCGCGCACCAGCUGGCCAUUGACACCUACCAGGAGUUUAAACCUAUAUCCCAAAGGACCAGAAGUAUUCAUUCCUGCAUGACUCCCAGACCUCCUUCUGCUUCUCAGACUCUAUUCCGACACCCUCCAACAUGGAGGAAACGCAACAGAAAUCCAGGCUGGAAGACGGCAGCCGCCGGACUGGGCAGAUCCUCAAGCAGACCUACAGCAAGUUUGACACAAACUCGCACAACCAUGACGCACUGCUCAAGAACUACGGGCUGCUCUACUGCUUCAGGAAGGACAUGGACAAGGUCGAGACAUUCCUGCGCAUGGUGCAGUGCCGCUCUGUGGAGGGCAGCUGUGGCUUCUAGGUGCCCGAGUAGCAUCCUGUGACCCCUCCCCAGUGCCUCUCCUGGCCCUGAAGGUGCCACUCCAGUGCCCACCAGCCUUGUCCUAAUAAAAUUAAGUUGUAUCAUUUC
rnacentral:lncRNA from 1 species